GGGUGAGUAACAGGUAUGCAACCUGCCCCUGUCAGGGGGACAACCCGCCGAAAGGCGGGCUAAACCCGCGUACAUGCCACCGGGGCAUCCCGGAGGCAGGAAAGGCUUCGGCCGGACAGGGAUGGGCAUGCGGCGCAUUAGGCAGUAGGCGGGGUAACGGCCCACCUAACCGACGAUGCGUAGGGGUUCUGAGAGGAAGGUCCCCCACACUGGUACUGAGACGCGGACCAGACUCCUACGGGAGGCAGCAGUGAGGAAUAUUGGUCAAUGGUCGGGAGACUGAACCAGCCAAGCCGCGUGAGGGAUGAAGGUACAGAGUAUCGUAAACCUCUUUUGUCAGGGAACAAAGGCGGGGACGUGUCCCCGGAUGAGUGUACCUGAAGAAAAAGCAUCGGCUAACUCCGUGCCAGCAGCCGCGGUAAUACGGAGGAUGCGAGCGUUAUCCGGAUUUAUUGGGUUUAAAGGGUGCGCAGGCGGUCUGUUAAGUCGGCGGUCAAAGCCCGGGGCUCAACCCCGGCCCGCCGUUGAAACUGGCAGUCUCGAGUUGGAGAGAAGUAUGCGGAAUGCGCGGUGUAGCGGUGAAAUGCAUAGAUAUCGCGCAGAACUCCGAUUGCGAAGGCAGCAUGCCGGCUCCACACUGACGCUGAGGCACGAAAGCGUGGGUAUCGAACAGGAUUAGAUACCCUGGUAGUCCACGCAGUAAACGAUG
rnacentral:rRNA from 1 species